rnacentral:rRNA from 1 species
GACGAACGCUGGCGGCGUGCCUAAUACAUGCAAGUCGAGCGAAUCUUUAGGAGUUUGCUCCUAUUGGUUAGCGGCGGACGGGUGAGUAACACGUGGGCAACCUGCCUAUAAGACUGGGAUAACACCGGGAAACCGGUGCCUAAUACCGGAUAAUCCUUUCCUCACAUGAGGGAAAGCUGAAAGACGGUUUCGGCUGUCACUUAUAGAUGGGC